rnacentral:lncRNA from 1 species
AUAGAAGGGUGGCGGCGGAGGAGACGCGUAUGAAACUCCAAAGAUUGGUGGCAAUGGGCCCUCAUAUACAGGAGUGGGAGGCGGCGGGCUUGCAUAAAUAUAUGGAGGGGGUGAAUUCGGUGGUGGUGGAGAACUGUAUUGAACAACCGGUGGUGGUGGUGAAUGGUGGACUGGAGGUGGGGGAGGCGACUCAUACACUGGUGAUGGUGGUGGUGAUGGAGAUGGUGGUGGUUUGUGAUGGUAUGGAGGAGGUGGUGGAGGCGAGGACUCAGGACAUGGUGGCGGUGGUGGAGGUGGUAAUUCAAUGCAAGGAGGCGGUGGUGGAGGCGGUUCUAUACAAGGAGGUGGGGAAGGGGGAGGUGGGGAGUGGACAGGGGGUGGAGGUGGCGGUGAUGAAUAAGGAUAAAUUGGUGGCGGUGGUGAAUGUGGAGGAGGCGGUGGUGGUGAAUGCGCAGGGGGCGGGGGUGAGUAGUACAUGUAAGGAACUGGUGGAGGUGGAGAACUCAAUGGAGAAGGCGGUGGAGGUGAAUUUGGUGGCGGCGGUGGUGGGGAGUGGACACAAUAGGGAGGGGAGACUGGUGGGGGAGGUGAUGGUGGAGGUGGAGGCAAGUAAACUGGCGGUGGAGGUGAUGGUGGAGGCGGAGAUGGAGGCGGUGGUGGUGGUGGGGAGUAAACUGGCGGUGGAGGUGGUGAGUACACUGGGGGAGGUGGCGAGGGCGGUGGAGGUGGUGGUGAGUAAACUGGGGGAGGUGGUGGUGGAGGUGAUGGUGGCGGUGAGAAAACUGGUGGCGGUGGCGAUGGUGGAG